rfam:Homo sapiens chromosome X, GRCh38 reference primary assembly.
GCUGGGUGUGGUGGCGUGCACCCAUAAUCCUAGCUACUCAGGAGGCUGAGGUGGGAGAAUUGCUUGAACCCGGGAGGCAGGGGUUGCAGUGAGCUGAGAUCUCGCCACUGAGAUCACGCCACUGCACUCCAGCCUGGGCGACAGAGCAAGACUCCGUCUCAG